rnacentral:lncRNA from 1 species
CGAGUCUUAGGAAGACCACUCCUUACUAUUAGAGUUGAGCCUUAGUUUCAACUUAAUAUUAACAAAAAAACAAAUCAAAACAACUAAAAUGAUAUAAAAUUAACUAUUUCAAUCUUACAAAAUUAUCUAUUUCAACUUAAUAUUAACCAAAAGAAAGUCAAAACAACUAGAGCCUACAAAACCACCAACACUCCCCUUCCGUUUUAUGAGAGAAAUUUGUCAAAAUCAGUUCAACGACAUGAGAAGUUGAAGUGGUAAUGACCAGUCAUUUAGGCUUUGCAAUUUGGCGGAGCCCGGGGUCUCGGUCUCUCAGAGCAAGACCACCCACUUGGGGUGGUUCCCCCAUAGGAUUGGGAAAAUUACAAAAAUUUAGUGGCUGAUCCUACACAAACUUUUUUCCUCCUACCGACUCCCUUCCUGAAGAGAAACAUGAUCUUUUACAAAAGAAGAUUUUGACACCAACGGAUUAAAAUAGUAGGGUGAAAGAAAAAUGGUUAAGUUCAUCAAAGAUUAGACAAGUUUUGAUCAUCUUUUCUUAGGUGUGUGUGUGUGUAUAUUCUAAUUAUUUGUUGUGAACACAGACCAAGUAUUUGAGCCUAAAAAAAAACAUAAAAAAUUUGUUUUCUAAAUAAUUGGAAGAAAAGAUUUUCUGCAAUGACAACGAAGAGACAUGAAAUAUUCACAUGCGUGAGAAAGUGACGUACCGCCAAAUUAAAGUCUAAUUGGACACGUAAUAAAAAUCAGUUCAAUGAUGCUUUCGUUGGAUGCGAGCGGGACCAAAAAUUGUGGGAUUAAGUAUUAUAAAAAUAAGAUGUGGGCUAUAUAAUAAAUGACAAACUAAAAAAGU